rnacentral:rRNA from 1 species
CACGUAGGGCGCAAGCGUUGUCCGGAAUUAUUGGGCGUAAAGAGCUCGUAGGCGGUCUGUUGCGUCCGCUGUGAAAACUCGGGGCUUAACCCCGAGCCUGCAGUGGAUACGGGCAGACUAGAGGUAGGUAGGGGAGAAUGGAAUUCCUGGUGUAGCGGUGGAAUGCGCAGAUAUCAGGAGGAACACCGGUGGCGAAGGCGGCUUGCUGGGCCUUACCUGACGCUGAGGAGCGAAAGCGUGGGGAGCGAACAGG